GAUCCUGGCUCAGGAUGAACGCUAGCGACAGGCUUAACACAUGCAAGUCGAGGGGCAGCAUAAAAGUAGCAAUACUUGGUGGCGACCGGCGCACGGGUGAGUAACGCGUAUGCAACCUACCUAUCAGAGGGGAAUAACCCGGCGAAAGUCGGACUAAUACCGCAUAAAACAGGGGCACCGCAUGGUGAUAUUUGUUAAAGAAAUUCGCUGAUAGAUGGGCAUGCGUUCCAUUAGGUAGUUGGUGAGGUAACGGCUCACCAAGCCGACGAUGGAUAGGGGAACUGAGAGGUUGGUCCCCCACACUGGUACUGAGACACGGACCAGACUCCUACGGGAGGCAGCAGUGAGGAAUAUUGGUCAAUGGGCGGGAGCCUGAACCAGCCAAGUCCGCGUGAAGGAAGAAGGAUCUAUGGUUCGUAAACUUCUUUUGCAGGGGAAUAAAGUGCAGGACGUGUCCUGUUUUGUAUGUACCCUGAGAAUAAGGAUCGGCUAACUCCGUGCCAGCCGCCGC
rnacentral:rRNA from 1 species